AACGAACGCUGGCGGCGUGCCUAACACAUGCAAGUCGUGCGAGAAAGUUCCUUCGGGAGCGAGUAAAGCGGCGCACGGGUGAGUAACACGUAGGUAACCUGCCCCCCAGUCUGGAACAGCUAGAGGAAACUCUAGCUAAUGCCGGAUGAGACCACGAUCCCUUCGGGGGUUGCGGCCAAAGAUGGCCUCUACUUGUAAGCUAUCGCUGAGGGAUGGGCCUGCGGGCCAUUAGCUUGUUGGUGAGGUAACGGCUCACCAAGGCUGUGAUGGCUAGCUGGUCUGAGAGGAUGACCAGCCACACUGGGACUGAGACACGGCCCAGACUCCUACGGGAGGCAGCAGUGGGGAAUAUUGCGCAAUGGGCGAAAGCCUGACGCAGCGACGCCGCGUGGGUGAUGAAGGCCU
rnacentral:rRNA from 1 species